AUGGCACAGUGGCGCAUAGCGUGUCUAAGUGACUGCUGGGUCGCGCUACAACGAAACGUAGAUCGAAUAGUAGGGGAAACGAAGAACUGCUAAUUGAUCUACUCCGGUGUGCAACUGAAUUUGAUGAGUUCGCGCCAUUUAUUUGACAGCAGCUAUCGAAUACUCGAAUUUUCGACUAAACGAUAACAUUUUGCGGGAAUUGAAGGGAAAAAAGAUUGAGACUUUGCACCGUCCUAUCUCCAACUUAUGGCCAUAAUUUUUACCGAAUCACUAAUCAAAUAUUAUCAGCACAGCCAACUAUGUCUGCUGACCAUAAACGCCAAGCAGCUGUCAAAUACAUAUUCGACAUUUUCGCUUUGCUGUUAUUAAUUUUACGCGCCUGCUGCGGCUUCCCACACUCCUCUGCCCCAUUAUAGCGACAACAGAAUGUUGGACAAGCCAAGAAGUGAUAGUGAAAAGAAAGCAUUAGCGAGCGUCAAAAAUAAUUCAUUCAGCAGCAAAACCACCAAGAAUCAAUUUUUUUAAUUUCAUACGGAACUCGGGGGAAAAG